GUUAUGCUUUCUGAAUUAUCCAUAUCAUAAAUUUUCCUUAAACAAUUCUCCUGUUCUUGAAUUAAAUGCAAUUCAGUAGUUCAAUUCUUAAUCUUAAUGACAAAUCUGAAUAAAACAAAGAAAUUUCAAAAGUUUUCCACUGAUUGGACAGCUAAGUACUUCUAGAAUAUUUUGUUCAAAGGAUUUACCAUAUAUAUGUGCCACGAAGCAGCGUUUUAGUGGCCAUCAUUUGGUCCGAGUCCAUGAGCCGCCAACCGAGUCAAAAAUCUCGCAUCGCUGACGCGUACCCUUCACACCCACUCUCCGUUUUCCCCUCGUUUUCCUGGAAAAUUCAUGUGCAAGUGAGCUGUUUCUGUCCCAUUCAAAAACGUGCUCCUAAAUAUCCAUAUAAAUACCAUCAAAUCUUUUUCCCCUCACCAUCUCCUUCAUUCAUCCAUUCCGCAACUCUCUUUCUCUCUCGCACUCGCUAUCUGAUUCUUGGUUUCGCUGAAUCCUCCUGAACUCGAUAUCUGUUGCUAUUGAUUUUUGAAGAUGAGUCCGAUGAAGUUGUAUGCUGCUGAAUUUGCUGGGUUUAUGUUGUUUGCACUCUUGCAGCUCGGCUAUGGACAAGGCCUGGCUCCUUCUCCUGCACCACAAGGCCCAACCAGCGAUGGCAAAAGUAUUGAUCAAGGAAUCGCUUACAUCCUUCUUCUAGUUGCUCUUGCAAUUACCUACCUCUUUCACUGAUUCUUUCAUCCAUUUAUUCGAUUUUUUUCUCUUGAAAUUCAUCAUUUAUUUGGAGAAAUUGCAGCUAUUUUGUAUCUGCUAGAUCCUUGUAAUUUGUAAAAAUAUAAUGAUUAUAUAUAUCAAUUUUUUUUCCUGGGCU